rnacentral:misc_RNA from 1 species
CAGGACUCGAAAGGCUCCCGUAACCACUGUGAACUUACUUACAUUCGUUGCCUCGGCGGGUGCUCUAGACUUCGUGUCUAGGGCAUUCAGCCCGUCGGUGGCCCACAACUCUGUCUCGCGCGUUGGCAUCUCCGAGUUAUUUUAAACGAGUCA